AACGAACGCUGGCGGCAUGCCUAACACAUGCAAGUCGAACGAAGCCUUCGGGCUUAGUGGCGCACGGGUGCGUAACACGUGGGAAUCUGCCCUUCGGUUCGGAAUAACAGUUAGAAAUGACUGCUAAUACCGGAUGAUGACGAAAGUCCAAAGAUUUAUCGCCGAAGGAUGAGCCCGCGUAGGAUUAGGUAGUUGGUAGGGUAAUGGCCUACCAAGCCGACGAUCCUUAGCUGGUCUGAGAGGAUGAUCAGCCACACUGGGACUGAGACACGGCCCAGACUCCUACGGGAGGCAGCAGUGGGGAAUAUUGGACAAU
rnacentral:rRNA from 1 species